rnacentral:tRNA from 1 species
GGAAUAUACCUCAGUUGGUAGAGUGCUUGCCUUACAUGCAUAAGGCCCUGAGUUCAAUCCCCAGUACCA